rnacentral:rRNA from 1 species
GAUCAUGGCUCAGGACGAACGCUGGCGGCGUGCCUAAUACAUGCAAGUAGAACGCUGAAGAGAGGAGCUUGCUCUUCUUGGAUGAGUUGCGAACGGGUGAGUAACGCGUAGGUAACCUGCCUGGUAGCGGGGGAUAACUAUUGGAAACGAUAGCUAAUACCGCAUAAUAGUAGAUGUUGCAUGACAUUUGCUUAAAAGGUAGCAAUUGCAUCACUACCAGAUGG